rnacentral:lncRNA from 1 species
CAUGCCUCGCUAUGAGCCUCCCAAAGCCUAAAAGACAUAAAAGUCAAACUUAGUGACUUUAAACAAGCUCACUUGGGAGGACAUGUUAUGGAGUGGAGUGGGAGACAAAAGUUGUUUGGGGUUGUCACUUUAAGGAGAACACAAAAAAAAAAAAAAGUUUACUCGAUCCCCACAUCCCAAACAUCUUUUUACCCAUUGAUUUUCUUAUCCCCUUAAUUCCUCUCUCAUCUCUCUUUACACCCACAAAACAUCCAUCCUCCUUAUCCUCACUAAAACACUCGCUUUUCAUCAUCUCUCAUCACUCCACUCUCCCCAUCACUCGAUUCUCUCUCUCACUCGGCUGAAUUCACUCCACCGGAACACCGACCGACAAGCUCGCACUCCACGGGAUUUAAUUUCACUCGACCGGAGGACGCUCACUCGACCGGCGGAUGCUCACUCGACAAGACGGUUGAAUAACUAGAGGAACUUCACUCGACCACUGGAGGAACUCGAGUUCACCUGCGCAACUCUACCCGCGUUUCCCUCACUCGACGCACACCUCCGUGACCAUGCUUACUCGACUCGCGGAUUCAACACUCACCUGAGCAACCGCUCCUCGUCACUCGACCGACAAGAAUUUUACUCGAUGGGCGUACGCGUGUACCUCACUCAAUUGACAAUAAACACGCCUCAUUUGACCCGCAUCUGUAGGUUGUCUACACUCGACCAAUUGGAACCAUCACUCGACCGUCACUUUGCCACUCGACCGACAUCACCAAGGCUCACUCGAACAUAUUGUGUGAACGUGACAAACUCGGUAAGUGUUACUUUCCUUUGCAUUUUCUCUUUUCAACUUUGAUAUUUUAUCUUGAUAUUUGGCAUAUAAUGUCAAGAGAUUUGUUGCAUGAGAUGCGUGAUAGUAUGGUUGUAAACCAACAGAGCGUGCAUCUCCACUCUCUAUAUCCAAGGUUUAUAUGGAGAAGAAAAAGGUUGCAUAUCAUAAGCAUCAGCUGUUGGUCCAUCUCAUGCAACAAGUAGAGCCAAAAAUUCUUUGGGUAAGAAACCAAUGGAGCUGCAGGAUGAAGACAGUGAUUAUGAGUUUGAAGAAGACCCACCUGUCCCAGCUCGAAAGUCAAUGCAGAAGAAGAAGACAGAGAAGUUGUUAGCUCCGGAAGAAUAUUACAAACUCUUUCAUCAACAUGAUUUUUCAAAGAACAAGGUAUCCUUGCCAGCAUAAAAUGGAUGAGUUGGCCAUCUCUGGUGAUUUAGAGUAUUCGUUCGAGCACUGUUCAGCAAACUCAUAACUAGUCUGCGCAACGCAUACAUAUCAGAAUAGGAUGUUUAAAAACUUUAGUAAACCUUUUAAAACUUUUAUAAAUAAUUUUAUAACAUUUAUAAAUAUUUGUAAAUCCUUUUAACCCCCUUAUAACCGUGGUAAAUCCUUUAAUAUAAACUUUUGUUAACUCGUAAAACCUUUUUAAAAACCCUUGUAAAUCCUUUUCAAAAACCUUUAAAUAUCCUUGUAAAUUUUUAAAAACCAUUUGAAAAUCUUUGAUAAAUCCUUGUAAAUCCUUUUAAAAUUGUUAUAAACUUAUAAAAACUUUUCAAAAUCAUUGUAAAUACUUCAAAAACCAUUCAAAAACCUUUGUAAGCUUCUAUAACCCUUUUAAAACCAUUACAAAUAUUUUAAAAACAAUUUAAAAACACUUGUAAAUCCCUUUAAAAACCCUUGUAAAUCCUUUAAACGACCCUUUAAAAAUGCUUGUAAACCCUUUAAAAACAUUGGAAGGGAAAAUUUUGCAGGAAAUUUUUUUGGCGGAAAAUGUUUUGGCGGGAAAUUGUUUUGAAAGAACAUUCUUUUAAUUAGGGGUAAAAUGGCCAUUAAAAUUUAAGAGAGGGCAGAAAUGAAAAUGGAAAAAACAGAGGGUAGUUUUGCAAAAGGGUAUCAUUAAAAGGUUAUUCUUAAGAUUUCUCCAAAAUAAAAUCAAAAUUAACUAAUGGUGAUGUUGUAAUAUUUAUUUGUAUAACUAAUGAUAUCAUACCAAAAUUCAUAUAGUAAAAUUUAUUUGGACAUAUAAAAAAAAUAACCAAGCCUAUAUUUGAUAAGCCAAGUGCUUCUAUCAUUCAAGUUCAUUAUGAACCUACGAAUCUAAGCCAUAGAGCUUAUUUUUAUUCAACUUUAUCAUCAUAAACCUCUGAAUCUAAGCCAAAAUUGAUUCUUUUCAUUUUUCUUAUUAUUAUUUAAAAAAAAUCACUGAUCAUUCUGAAAGUGCAAGAGCUAUUGAUAUGUAUGGAAACUAAGAUACAAACUGAGACAUGAGUUUCUUCAAAAAAAAACUUCUUUACUAGAGAAUUUGUUUAGUAACCUUACAAGUUUCACUCAAAGAAUUAUCUAAUCUCUCAUGUUCAUGGAUCUAUACACAAUCCAAGAACCUAUCAAGACUAACCCCUUAGCCCGCUUAAGCGUUAUGCUUUCUUACGAGAAACCACACAACCUUAAUGUCUAACAAUUCUCUUGCUCUUUUGUGCUAACCUCUGCAAAGGCUUAACACCCCUAUUUAUACAUACUAGGUAGUGGUCAUACAAGCCUACGGGAAAUUGGAUGUAGUGGACCUUCAUGCGAAGAAUUCUCCAUCCCUAGAGUAUGUAAGAGCAAUUAAUGCAGAGGAACCCCUCCAAUUCGUCAAGAUAGCAAGAUUUAAGUCAGGAGAGGUUGCCAAGUUAGAGUUGGUGUACGAGAAGUUGCUCAAAGAAUGCUUUUCGUACAAGAGGCUCACACAUGACCAAUUUUCCUGCCCGUUCUUAGUGAAGGAAAUUCCUAAUCUGAGAGGAGGAAGGGAAGUAAGUACACAGGACAAGCCAAGAAUGAAAGAGAAAGGGAAAGGGAUCCUGAUGAAUGAAGAUGGGGAGGAUUUCAGAUAUACCACCUCAGGAGUAUACAUAAAGGAAGGUCGAGAUAGGAACUCCGUUCAUAGUCAGGAACUCUGGACUAGAUCAACUAAGGAACGGGGGAACAAGGCAGGCCAUCCGGGAAGCAGAAAAGAGGCUAAUCCUAGACAGGAGUGGAGGCCAAAGAUAAAAGUUACUGAAAGUCGUCUAGAGUUUGAGAAUACUGGGGCUAGUGCUGGAAUGGGCUCAAAGGAGAUUAAGGGGAUUAAUAUGGAGACUUUCAAGGAGACAUACCAGAGCAAAAGAAGAAGAUCAAGCAGCGAGGGAGAAAGGGCAACCAAGAAAGCCAAAUUGGAGUCGAGCGAGAAAUCCCAGGAACCAGCGUCUGUGUUUGAAAGAUUGGGUUCAGGUGAAAAAUUACAACAUUCACCAUCUGUUUUCGAAAGAUUGGUAUCAAGUGCUGAAAAGGUUAACGAUUUUGGAAGGAGAAGUUCUAUUGAGAAGUCUAGUUCUUCUGUCUCGGUCUUUGAAAGACUGGGUUCUUAAGUCUCAUCAUCUAGCCCAUCACACAUGGAGAAAGAGGAAAAAUCAGAUCAUUUUGCGCCAGGUGGCAGCUAAUUUAGAACAUUCUGCUCAUAUAGCUGCUCAGUUAUCGAAUCAGUCAGAGUCCUCAGUGGCUGCAAACCGUCCGUACUCUUCUAGUGCAUCUCCUGGGAGUAGCAAUGACAAAAAUUUGAAAGAAGGUUUGAUGGUUAAUUUCAACCCUUCGAUUCCAUAAUGAGAAUUUUGAGUUGGAACUGUCAGGGGGUGGGGAAUACCCCGAUUGUUCGACAUUUAAGGGUAAUACGUGGUCGAUAUUGCCCUGAAAUGACAUUCCUAUGUGAGACGAAGAAUAAGAGAAGUUAUUUAGAGAACGUAGUAGGCCACUUGGGUUAUUAUGAUGUUCAUACUGUGGAACCAGAAGGUUUGAGUGGAGGCUUAGCCCUUAUGUGGAAGGAGUCAGCUCAGGUCCGUAUCCUACAAUCCAAUAAAAGAAUGAUGGAUGCCCUCGUUGUUUGGCAGGACAAGGAAUUCUAUCUUACCGGUAUCUAUGGUAAUUCGGUCCAAAGUGAACGUGCCGAUCUUUGGGAGAGACUUACAAGGAUUGGGAGUGGAAGAUCAAGGGCAUGGAUGAUCAAAGGAGAUUUCAAUGAGCUGGUGGACCCUUCAAAAAAGUGUGGAGGACCACCUAGGACUGAUUCUUCCUAUAAGGAAUUUCGCCAAAUGUUAUCCGCUUGUGGUCUGUGGGAGGUCAAGCAUCUAGGUUACCAAUAUUUAUCGUAUGGUAUCUGUAAUGAUGAUUUGGUUCAAUGUAGAUUGGACAGGACUGUUGCUAAUCAGGCUUGGCUGGAAGCGUUCCCUCAAGUGUAGGCAAUAUAUCUUAAAAAGAUUACAGUCCUCUUAUCAAAAACUUGGUGGAAGGUUUUGGAAAUCAUAGGGCAUGCUUUAAAUACGACAAGAGAUGGAUCCAAAGGGAAGGAUUUAAAGAGCUGGUUAAUAACAUUUGGACAUCUCAACUUGUUGGAAAGGGAAACCCAAUGAUGGAGCUUUUAGCAAAGUGUAGGAAAGGAAUCUUCAGCUAGAAGCGAGCUACCAAACCUAAUUCUGCUGCAAGACUCCAUGAUCUGGAAUACAUAAUGGACGCUGCAACUAAAAAAGCUCCCGUUGACAAGGCUGCCCUGUCUAAGUUAAGAAAAGAGAUUAAUCAAGAGUUUCUAAAUGAGGAGCAAUACAGGAAAGAGAAAAGUAGGUUCACUUGGCUGCAGAAUGGAGAUAGGAAUACAAAAUACUUUCAUGCAUUUACUAAAACAAGGAGGCCUCAAAACCAGAUCAGAAAUCUCAUAGAUGAGGAAGGUAAAGAGUGGACCCCAGAGGCUAAAAUGGGACAGGUGGCUUAAGCAUAUUUCAGAAAACUCUUUACCUCGGAAGAUGUUGGGUUCCAAAUUAAGGAAUUGGAGGAGAUUGAGCCGGUUGUAACAGCCAUUAUGAAUGAGAUGCUUACAGCUCCUAUAUCAGCCGAGGAAGUGAAGAAGGUUGUCUUUAUAUCAACCCACAUAAGUGUCCAGGCCUUGAUGGUAUGAAUGGUUUUCUUUAUCAACAAUUCUGGGAAAGUAUGGGAGAUCACAUUAUCAUAAUGGUGAGUUCCUUUCAAGAUGCAUGGUGCAUGGAAGAAGAAAUGAACAAAACUAAUAUCUGCUUAAUCGCGAAGAAGCUAAAUGCAAACCAAAUGGUAGAAUUCAGACCCAUCAGCCUGUGUAACGUGGUUUAUAAGAUCAUAGGUAAGGUGCUGGCUACAAGACUUAAGUGGAUCUUACCUAUGGUUGAUCGGCUCAAAUUUUCCCUGAGCUACUCUCUCAAUUAAGAGAUCACGGUAGUACUUAGGGAUCAAAUCCACAUAAAUUCAAAGAUUACACAAUAAAUAUUCGGUAUUAAAUUAAGCUAAGCAAGCAGGUUUUAAAAUUAAAUAAAACAGCAAAUUAAAUUAGCGAUUGGUUUAUACACAAUAAUGAGGAAAGCUAGGCCUAGAGACAUUCUCCGGAAAUUCAGAAUUGCAAAUAAAUAAUUGUCAGGAAUUAUAAAGCACCGUUCUUGAACUCAAAUCAACUUUCGUUGCAAAGACUAUCUAUGUCUAGAACCCUAAAUUCCAAAUCUCUUUACAAAUUUAUAAGUUUAAGACAUGCAUUUAAUUCAGGUUUGAUAAGUUCACAAAAUCCCUAAACCAAAUCUCUUUGCGAAUAGAUAUUUCGCUCAUCUAGAUUAUUUUCAGGAAAUCAAUAACACUUUCGUGUCUACCAAUUAACCUAAGAUCAGAUUCUAGGUUGCUUUCACUACUCUAGAACAAAUUAACCACAAUCUAGAUGAAGAACUCUAUAGAUUCAAUCCUAACAAUCUAACAACCUAACAAUUCAUGAAUUCCUUUGAAAACCCUAAACCUAACAAGAGAUCUACUCAGACAUGGUGAAUGAAACAAACAUCAUGAAUAAAAUAGAUAUCAUAAACGAAAGUAAUAGAAGAAGUAAAGGAGUUCUGAAUCUUCUCUGAAGGAGGUUUUGAUUCUUCUCUCCUCCUCUCUUAAAAUCUCUCUCUCCAAAAUAAAGCUUAAGUCUUAACAAAACCCUAAAAACUCAAUAUAUAUGUCUUAACCACGAACUGGGCUUAAUUUCAAAUAAGGGAAACUUUUGGGCCGAAUCUGCAAAUCUUCUGAACGUCAAUUAAGCGUGCAAUUCAAUUGCCGUCAGAUAUUAGUGUCGAUCGAUACAAGAAGUUGUGACGCUCGACACUCACACCAAAUUUGCUCUCCCGAUACGUUCCUUCGGCACAUCUUCUCCAAAUGCUCCCAAAUGCUCCAAAAAACUCCAAUCCAUGCCAAAUAGCUCCUAAUCCUGAAAUGACUCAAAAAGACUCGAAAACACUAUAAAAGCCCUAUAAAUAAGACUUAUAUCAUGGCCAAAAACAUGAUAUAUCAACUCCCCCAGACUUAGCCUUUGCUUGCCCUCAAGCAAAACAGAAACUUAACCUGUGAAAGAAGUUUGAAAACGCGGGAACUCACUCAACUGCAGGAAACUCUUCUUUGCACUCUUCAUCGCCUUGUCUCUAGAACUUACUUUAUGUACUUUACCUAUGAGAAGCAUCAACAUUCCUUACUCUAAUCCCACAAUCCUUAGGAAUCUCCUGUCUCUCCAAUGUCAUCUCUUUACAUAAUUUAAAACAAGUAAAGAUGAAUUCUUACCGAGGGAACAUCGAUCAAUGGCAUAUGGACUCUUCUCAAACCAAGACAUUCUUCAUAUGAUUUCACUUCUUCUCCCUUUUCUCACUUCUAAGAUAAUCGACAUCUCCCUACUUUUCUAGGGUAUCAUUUUAUUUUUUCAACGAUUCUUUUUUUCUUUCUGGUUUUAUUUUUAUUUUAUUUUUUAUGAACUCUCUUUUUUUUUUUUUUUCUGGUAUCCAUGAGAUCCAAAGUAUGCACGGGUUUACGCAACAUCCCUCAUAUUACUGCUACCUAUAGCCUUUUCCACACUUUCUUUUAAAGGCUGAAGGGAUGAGAGAAAAAAGGAAUCAUACUUUGAAGAAGCGCAGUGUCUUAUGUGGUUCGAAGAAGAAGUCUAGUCCAAUGUAUACCAACUCCCAAGGUAAAAGAUUAAGUCCAAUUAAGUCCUAAUAAAAUUAGAUACAACGUUAGAUCAAGUGGAUAUCCAAUGAAUAAUGGCUCUCAGGAUUGUUGAUACAGCUCAUAGUCAUUCCAAACUUCGGUUCUGAGAUCAAGCAUAAUCAAGAGUCAUAAGAGUGUUAAUCCAAAUCAAAGAAAGCAUUAGACAGAGUUCAUAGUUCCCUACAAAAUUUUUGACUCAAUAAAACAAUUUUUUUUUUGACUCACUCGAUAAAACUCCAAAGAAUAAACAAGGUUAGUAACUGCCUCCCCCAGACUUAAACAACACUGUCCCUAGUGUUACCAAGUCUAAGAUUGGCGAACAAAAGAAAAUAAAACUAAAAUAAAUACAAAAGAAAUAGAAAAACUCACAAGUGGGUUGCCUCCCACUAAACGCUUGUUUUCAGUCAUUAGCUUGACUUUGUCGGGGCUCAUGCAUCCGGUGGGUCGGGAAGCGGCAGUAAAUGCCUCCG